rnacentral:rRNA from 1 species
CAAAGGCAUGGUCCCGACCUUACCAUCAGCUNUAGCCCAACUUACACAUGCAAGUCUCCGAACCCCGUGAGUAAGCCCCUUAAUCCCCCGCCCGGGACGAGGAGCAGGCAUCAGGCACAAACCUUUAGCCCAAGACGCCGGGCCUAGCCACACCCCCAAGGGAAUUCAGCAGUGAUAAAUAUUAAGCUAUAAGUGAAAACUUGACUUAAUUAGGGCUAAGAGGGCCGGUAAAACUCGUGCCAGCCACCGCGGUUAGACGAGAGGCCCUAGUUGAUAGAACAACGGCGUAAAGGGUGGUUAAGGAUAGCGAGAUAAUAAAGUCGAAUGGCCCUUUGGCUGUCAUACGCUUCUAGGAGUCUGAAGCCCAAUAUACGAAAGUAACUUUAAUAACGUCCACCUGACCCCACGAAAACUGAGAAACAAACUGGGAUUAGAUACCCCACUAUGCUCAGUGGUAAACCCAGACGUCUAACUACAACNAGACGUCCGCCCGGGUACUACGAGCAUUAGCUUGAAACCCAAAGGACCUGACGGUGCCUCAGACCCCCCUAGAGGAGCCUGUUCUAGAACCGAUAACCCCCGUUAAACCUCACCGCUUCUAGCCAUCCCAGCCUAUAUACCGCCGUCGUCAGCUUACCC